rnacentral:rRNA from 1 species
AACGAACGCUGGCGGCGUGCUUAACACAUGCAAGUCGAACGGAAAGGCCCUGCUUUUGUGGGGGGCUCGAGUGGCGAACGGGUGAGUAACACGUGAGUAACCUGCCCUUGACUUUGGGAUAACUUCAGGAAACUGGAGCUAAUACCGGAUAAGAGCUUCUGCUCGAUGGGGGGGGUUGGAAAGGUUGGGCGGUUGGGGGUGGACUCGCGGCUUAUGAGCUUGUUGGUGGGGUAGUGGCUUCCCAAGGCUGUGACGGGUCGCCGGCCUGAGGGGGUGACCAGCCACAGUGGGACUGAGAGACGGCACAGACGCCAACGGGAGGCAGCAGUGGGGAAUAUGGCACAAUGGGCGGAAGUGUGAGGCAGAAGCGCCGCGUGCGGGAUGACGGCCUUCGGGGUAUAAACCGGUUUCGGCUGAGACGAAGCGUGAGUGACGGUAAUGGGUGAAGAAGCACCGGCUAACUACGUG